AUUGAACGCUGGCGGCAUGCCUUACACAUGCAAGUCGAACGGCAGCACGGGUGCUUGCACCUGGUGGCGAGUGGCGAACGGGUGAGUAAUACAUCGGAACAUGUCCUGUAGUGGGGGAUAGCCCGGCGAAAGCCGGAUUAAUACCGCAUACGAUCCACGGAUGAAAGCGGGGGACCUUCGGGCCUCGCGCUAUAGGGUUGGCCGAUGGCUGAUUAGCUAGUUGGUGGGGUAAAGGCCUACCAAGGCGACGAUCAGUAGCUGGUCUGAGAGGACGACCAGCCACACUGGGACUGAGACACGGCCCAGACUCCUACGGGAGGCAGCAGUGGGGAAUUUUGGACAAUGGGCGAAAGCUUGAUCCAGCAAUGCCGCGUGUGUGAAGAAGGCCUUCGGGUUGUAAAGCACUUUUGUCCGGAAAGAAAUCCUUGACUCUAAUACAGUCGGGGGAUGACGGUACCGGAAGAAUAAGCACCGGCUAACUACGUG
rnacentral:rRNA from 1 species